rnacentral:tRNA from 1 species
GGUGGGUUGCCCGAGCGGCCUAAGGGAACGGUCUUGAAAACCGUCGAGGCGCAAGCCUCCGUGGGUUCAAAUCCCACACCCACCG